UACGGAGGGUGCAAGCGUUAUCCGGAUUCACUGGGUUUAAAGGGUGCGUAGGUGGCUAUUUAAGUCAGUGGUGAAAGCCCGCGGCUCAACCGUGGAAUUGCCAUUGAAACUGAGUAGCUUGAGUACAGUUGAAGUGGGCGGAAUAUAUCAUGUAGCGGUGAAAUGCUUAGAUAUGAUAUAGAACACCGAUUGCGAAGGCAGCUCACUAAGCUGUAACUGACACUGAGGCACGAAAGCGUGGGUAGCGAACAGG
rnacentral:rRNA from 1 species